UACGGAGGGUGCAAGCGUUGCUCGGAAUCACUGGGCGUAAAGGGCGCGUAGGCGGCGCGGGAAGUCCGUGGUGAAAGCCCGAGGCUCAACUUCGGGUCGGCCAUGGAUACUCCUGGGCUCGAGCACUGUAGAGGCAGGUGGAAUUCCGGGUGUAGCGGUGGAAUGCGUAGAGAUCCGGAAGAACACCGGUGGCGAAGGCGGCCUGCUGGGCAGUAGCUGACGCUGAGGAGCGAAAGCGUGGGGAGCGAACAGG
rnacentral:rRNA from 1 species